rnacentral:lncRNA from 12 species
AGAAGAGUAGUUCUUCACUUGGACACCAUAAAUGAGUUGAAGAGCAUGGUGUGUGCGCUGAAGGGGGGCUUAAAAGAAAGAAGUGCCCUGGAAACCAAAAACCAGCCAUACUUGCACAUCCACACUCAUCGCAAGACAACCAGGUGGACCCCCUUGAGGAUGAUGUGACCAUUGCUGAUGGCGUUACAGUUAACAAAAUACAGCUUAUGCGAUGCAACCAUCAGAGACCUUCAAAACUUGUGUGUGAUCUGCUUGGGGUGAUGUUCACAAUGGAGGAGCUGUCAACACACUCCUUAAAUGGAUUAAAGGUAGGUGUAUCAGAGAGUGUGAAACCUUGCUUGAAUAAGAAGCGUGUCAAUGCCAUUUUUGAGUACACUUUAAAGAAGUUUACAGAACUGUAGUAGAACCAUGGAAUCAUAACCAUGGUUUUUAAAAAUACCAGUUACUACAGUCAUGGUUUUUUAAAAACCAUGGUUCACACCAAAAUACCAUGGUUACUACAGUCAUAGUUAACUACAGUUUUACUAUAGUAAAACCAUGGUUAAUU